rnacentral:misc_RNA from 1 species
AAGACUAUAGACCUGCGGAGUACCUGCGGAGGGAUCAUUACAGUGCUCGUCGGUACGUCGCGUCUCCGGGCGUCGGCGCACCGCACCUGCCCCACCCGUGUCUACCUUUCUUCUGUUGCUUCGGCGGGCCCGCCCCCGAGCGUACCCACGCGCUGGGUGCGUCCGGCGGCGGACCGGGGGUUUUUCACCCCUGGCCAGCGCCCGUCAGAAGACCCCUUGAACCCUUUGUGAAUGUACGGC